UACGGGAGGCAGCAGUGGGGAAUAUUGCACAAUGGGCGCAAGCCUGAUGCAGCCAUGCCGCGUGUAUGAAGAAGGCCUUCGGGUUGUAAAGUACUUUCAGUCGUGAGGAAGGUGUUAAGGUUAAUAACCUUAGCAAUUGACGUUAGCGACAGAAGAAGCACCGGCUAACUCCGUGCCAGCAGCCGCGGUAAUACGGAGGGUGCGAGCGUUAAUCGGAAUUACUGGGCGUAAAGGGCACGCAGGCGGUUAAUUAAGUUGGAUGUGAAAUCCCCGGGCUUAACCUGGGAAUGGCAUUCAAGACUGGUUAGCUAGAGUCUUGUAGAGGGGGUAGAAUUCCAUGUGUAGCGGUGAAAUGCGUAGAGAUGUGGAGGAAUACCGGUGGGCGAAGGCGGCCCCCGGACAAAGACUGACGCUCAUGUGCGAAAGCGUGGGGAGCAAACAGGGAUUAGAUACC
rnacentral:rRNA from 1 species